AUAGUUUCUUCUCACUUUAUGGGAGGACUUCGGAGAAAUUGAAGAAACUGAGCUGCAAGCUAAAAUGGGAAAGAAUGAAGAAUUCCUUGUAAUCCUUGGAAGGAAUAUAGGAAUAUCUUCGUAUCAGGGUAUGCACAUAUUAAAAUAUUUGACUUACAUAUUUUUAUUUAAUACAACACUACACAUACAUUGUGCCAUACACGUUUAUCGCUGCAAACUAGAUUCAACUCAACAAUACACAUAAAUCCUGCUUACCCACAGGCGUUGGAGCUUAUCAACUGGUACUGACUUUUCAUCUUUACUUUUUAACUUGCCCCUGAACAGCAUAUUGAAUACUUUAUUUGGUGUGACAAUAGGGCAAAAACAAACAAACACAUGCUUUCAAGUUAUGCAUCAGCCAGCUUCUCUGCGUCAUCAACGUCUCUCGUAGUAACUCCCACUCAGUAGCAAGUUAUCCCCAUUGCAGAAAUUUCAACACAAGACUUCAGUAAGUGUUUCACUUAUCUAGAUGUGAAUAGGUUUAUUCAUGAAACAGAAUAACAUACAUUUGCUUUUCAUCUUCCUUGACAGAUUGGAGUUUUCUAUGUUGAGGCCGAAAUGUUUAUUUCAAAUGACUUGCAGAAAUUUUGUGUGCUUGAAUGUUUAGGAUGUAAACAAAAAAGCGCACGAAAGAAAGAAGAGAAUUUGAAUGCACAAAGUUGGGUCGAUUACAGCAGUAAUUUCUAGAGUUAUAGCUGAGAAGAUGCUCUCCAUGACAGCAGAACAUAUAUUUGAAACAACUUUGGUCAAUGUUGCCCCUUAUUUAUAUGUAGUAGUAUACUUCAUAUAUGUUUUUGAUUUGCUAUUUCUGCAAAAAUCAGCCACAACUAAAUCAAAUGACUCUUCUCACUUACAGAAUCAACUCCUGCCCAUUGACCAUGUUCAUAAGAUGUUGUCGG